UACUGAUUCUGUUGAGUGGUGGAAGGUCCGUUGACAAUGUUGACACGCCAGCCUCUGCUCUGAAGGAGCUUGGGGUUUUGGUCUUUGGAAUUGGAACAAGGAGCUCUGAUAGCAGAGAAUUGCAGAGGAUAUCACAUGAUCCCAGUUACGCUCUGUCUGUCUCAGACUUUACUGACCUUCCGAGCAUCCAGCAGCAACUUCUGUCCUCGGUGGAGGCAGUGGUUAUUGAUGUUACUCCAGAAUCACCAACAGUUUUAGUUGAUCAUGACACCGCCAGAAAGGAUGUGGUAUUCCUUCUGGAUGGUUCUGAUGGCACAAGGAAUGGAUUCCCAGCAAUGCGUGAUUUUGUUCAGAGAGUAGUAGAGAAACUCAAUGUGGGAGGAGACAAAGACCGCGUUUCUGUGGUCCAGUACGGUAGAGAUCAAGAAGUUAAUUUCUAUCUGAACACAUACACCACGAAGGGCGACAUUCUUGACAUCGUCAGAGGUCUGAGGCACAGAGGAGGUAGACCCCUCAACACUGGGGCAGCCCUCCAGUAUGUAAGGGACAACGUCUUUACUGCCUCCUCAGGAAGCAGAAGCCAAGAUGGUGUCCCUCAGAUGCUGAUACUGCUGAGUGGCGGGAGGUCCAAUGAUAAUGUUGAUAUACCAGUUUCUGCCCUCAAAGAGAGUGGGGUCUUGAUCUUUGGCAUUGGAAACAGAAAUUCUAGCAAAGAGGUUCAAAGGAUUGCCUCUCACCCCAGUUAUUCCCAGUCUGUUUCUGAAUUCUCUGAUCUCCCCAGCGUCCAGGAUAAGUUUUUCUCCUCACUCAUUACUGUACACGUUGGCGCAACAUCCAUUUCCCCAACAGUCAUAGUGGACCUAAGCGUCGCCAGAAAGGAUGUAGUAUUCUUGCUGGAUGGUUCUGAUGGCACUAGGAAUGGCUUCCCAGAAAUGCGUGACUUUGUUCAAAGAGUAGUGGAGAAACUCACUGUAGGGGAGAACAGAGAUCGAGUCUCUGUGGUACAGUAUAGCAGAGAACCAGAGGUCCACUUCUAUCUGAACACUUACACAAGAAAAGAAGAGGUUGUUGACACCGUAAGAGGGCUGAAGCACAAAGGAGGG